GUAGCCCACUACAAAUGGUGAAGUCUCAGCCAUGAUAUACUCCAAGGCAUGUUCCUAAUACAGUCUGAUGAGAAAUUGUGUGGAUGUACACAAUGGAGCAUUGACACAAAACAGUAAGUCAAUAAUAUACUUUUCUGAAUAAGAGCUCAAGGAGCCACAGUACAUCAUUUGAUCUCAGUGAUACAACCGGAGCCUGUCCACAACCCACGAGAAACAUAGUACUGAGACAACACAGACUGAGCACAUCUGUACACCAAGAACUCAUUGGAGCACUCUUAGCCUUUUGACUGAGGCCAUCGUUUUGUUAAGUUUGUUUUCAGUUUUGAUGGUCCACAGGUCUCCAGCUCUCGGGGACAUGAAGGAUGUAUGCUGUAUAUGCUGUGUCAGGCUGUUGGACACCCUCACAAUGGACAGGCUGCAGCUGGACUCCCCUGUAAGGACAGCCUCAUAUGCUCCAGGACUCUAAUUCCCUGACUGCCACAGUACUUGCCUGCUCUCUACACCAACCCACAAAAUGAAGUUUAUACUGCAGGAGAGUGAAACUCAGCAAUGCUCACUGUUAUACUGGUACCUUCUCAAGCAUGAACUGGGCAAUUUUAAUGAGACUUCAUGGAAAUAAACAAUCCCAUGU
rnacentral:lncRNA from 7 species